rnacentral:misc_RNA from 1 species
UCUCCGUAGGUGAACCUGCGGAGGGAUCAUUACAGAGUUCUCGCCCUCACGGGUGGAUCUCCCACCCACUGUUAUCGUUACUGUCGUUUCUUUGGCGGGCCGCCGGGUCCCCGGCCGCCGGCGCCUAGCUGCCGGCACGCGCCCGCCAGAGGCCUUCAAACUCUGAAUGUUAGUGUCGUCUGAGUACUAUAUAAUAGUUAAAACUUUCAACAACGGAUCUCUUGGUUCUG